rnacentral:snoRNA from 1 species
AGCCAGCGAUGACAAAUCAAAUAACUUUUCUGACACCUACUAUGAGAGCUGGACUCCGGCUCCUGAUUCUACCUUUCUACCUGAGGCUC